UGUCUGCAAAAAUAUGCAGAGAAAAGCGGAGCAGAAAACCCUGAUCUCCUGAGGUCAACUAAAUUAAGAAAACAGGUUGCCACACUCUGCCAACUGCUGGAUCUGAGUGAACAAGAGCUAGAACAAGUUGCAAGGUUCAUGGGGCAUGACCUCAGAGUCCACCGUGACUUUUACAGACAGACAGACAAAACAUUUCAAAUUGCCAAGAUAAGCAAGCUUCUAUUUGCAAUGGAACAAGGCGCCUCCACCUUCAAGGGAAAGAACCUUGAUACAAUUGAUCCUUCUGUCUGUGGUAAAUGUCCCACGUCGACUUCUGAGAGUGUCCCACAGAGAGAAAGGAAACAAGUUAACGAGGUGGAUGAAGAUGGAGGUUUUGACCUCUUCUCCCCAAAAGGAGACUGGAGCCCCUCAGUGAGGAUGGGAGUUCAGGUGUAGAUGAUCAGAGUCCAGGAAAAAGCCUGGUGCUGAGGCCCUCACAGAAGAAGAAAAGAUGUAAAAUGUCCAAGACAGUGGAAGCAAUGGAUGGAGGUUCUGACCUCUUCUC